AAGUCGUAACAAGGUCUCCGUAGGUGAACCUGCGGAGGGAUCAUUAACACUAUUAAAUCUACUUUAUUAACCAAUUGUGAACUUAUUAUUUGGUGUGGGUUUGUUUCUUUUUUGAUUGUGGUCUGUUGAUUUAACUUUCAAUAAUUUUACAUUUAAUCCACAUCUAUGUUUUUUAUUAUUAAACCCUAAAUACAUACACUGAAAUGAAAAAUGAUAUUCCAAUUGUUUUUUGUUUUGUGUCCUUUUGUCUUACAAAAAUAUUAAAAAAUUUUUUGAUUUUGGUUAUUCAAAGUCUAAUAAAUUUAUCUUUACAACUCUUAGCAACGGAUAUCUCGGUUCCC
rnacentral:misc_RNA from 1 species